rnacentral:rRNA from 1 species
CCUACGGGGGGCUGCAGUCGAGAAUCAUUCACAAUGGGGGAAACCCUGAUGGUGCGACGCCGCGUGGGUGAAUGAAGGUCUUCGGAUUGUAAACCCCUGUCAUGUGGGAGCAAAUUAAAAAGAUAGUACCACAAGAGGAAGAGACGGCUAACUCUGUGCCAGCAGCCGCGGUAAUACAGAGGUCUCAAGCGUUGUUCGGAAUCACUGGGCGUAAAGCGUGCGUAGGCUGUUUCGUAAGUCGUGUGUGAAAGGCGCGGGCUCAACCCGCGGACGGCACAUGAUACUGCGAGACUAGAGUGAAGGAGAGGGAAGCGGAAUUCUCGGUGUAGCAGUGAGAUGCGUAGAUAUCGGGAGGAACACUCGUGGCGAAGGCGGGUUCCUGGACAUUAACUGACGCUGAGGCACGAAGGCCAGGGGAGCGAAAGGGAUUAGAUACCCUAGUAGUC